rnacentral:lncRNA from 1 species
ACCACUAGUAACCCCUCGGUGUCCACAGUCUGUGUUGCUGACAAUCCAGUGCAGCUGUGCCUGAGAGCACAGGUGGUCAGUGAGCUCGAGCUCAUAGUGCAGGUGGAUCCAUAGGAGCAGCUGCCAAGCCGUGCCUCUGGCAUCCUCCUCCGGGACGGCGCCACGGGCCUGUGCCUUUGGCCGUCAGUCACGUGGACAUGCUCCCUGCCAUAGACAUGCCACCUGAAGUCUUGGCUUAUUUCCAUCUAUGAAGAGAUGAUAGCUUUGGGUUGGCCAUUGGGAAUACUAGGUUCUGGUGGCAAACUCCCAGUGACUGUUUGAGAAAAGGCACCCCAAAUGGGGUGACGAAGAGUCAAUUUCAUUUUCCUUUCACUAGCUAAGCAAGGGCGGCCAGAAGAGCUGGCUGCAUUUCUGUUGAAAGUGGUCUUACAUGGACGUGGCGUCAGAGACCCUCUGCGGACAGGGUGGCUGCUGUUCUUGGGCUCUCUGGUUCCAGAAGGGAUGCGGAGUCAUGGCGUCCCACUCCUUCCGCAGUGGUGUCAUCUGCGGGCAGUCCACCCCCCUUUCCCUUCUUUCUUCUGUCGCAGCUUCAUCACUGCCUUCUUGGCGAUGAGUCUCCAGCAGCUUCUGCACGUCAGGGUGGAUGAAUGUGCACUCACCUGCCUCCGUCUGCUGGGGUGUGGGGUCUCCCCAGAAGGAAGGCUCUGGGGGGUGGUCGGGAAGAUGCCGCUGCUGGAAUUUGCCAUGUGAGCAGGUGGAGAGGCCCCACGUGGUGGCAGCCUCCUUCCACCAGGAGAGAUCCCCGGUGGGCUCGCUGGAGCACCCAAGGCCAGAGAUCACCGUGGUUGGAGCCGGCGGCCGCUGCUGGCCGAGGAAACAACUCCUGAGACUCACUGCCACCGCCACCAGCGUCAUUCUUCUGGCGAUGCCCCCCGCCUGGCAUUGUGAAACUCCAGCUGGUCUUCCUGAGCCUGCAGGUUCUGAGUGUCUGGAUCCCGUCCCUGACCCUGCCUACUCCCAGGCCUCCCGUUAG